ACAACAGUAAGCUUUAAUCUCUAUCUAUCUGUCUGUGUAGUGUUGAAUGCUGGUUGAUCCUGCGAUUCAUCCGGUAGCACUGUUCCCUCGAUCUGCAAGUUCUGCAUGCAUUUACUUGCGUAUGAUGCUACUCAGAUCUAAGUACAGUUGCAACUCCUCUCAGCAAUGAUAAUUCUUGGCAUGUGUACUUAAGUCUAUUAUUCCCCUGUCCUACAGAAAGUAAAUCAAUUUAUGCAGCAGAGCUACCGUAUCACUGAUUGGCAAUGGCGUUCGGCACACUACCAUUGCGUUGCAUGAUUCUUCUUCCAUAAGAAUCCAGAGGCAUUAAUCCCAUUCCCAUAUUGUUGGAUUUUUAGGUCUAAAUAUGAAGAGAAAGAAUGGUCUUGCUCUUGAACAAUUGUUCAUGAAUUCUAAAUCAGCAAUUCAUGAGUCCCCUGCCUCAAACACUGCACAAUUUUCAAUCCUCUAUAUAUUUCACAUAUUGCCACUCUUAUGUGUUGAACAAUUAUCAAAUACUAGUUGAGUAAUUUCUAUUUGUUGAACAAUUGGCAAUUAGUAGUUAAAUCAAUUAUAUAAAUAUAUGAAAUUAUACCCAAUUCAUGUUAUACAAUUUGUAGUUUAGUACUAUAUAAUUACUCCUUCACGUUUCGCAUACCCAACCUGAAAAUCCUGGGGCCGCCCCUGGGCGAGCGUCACCCGCGUGGCCAGGCCUGGGCACCUGGCUGUGGCUGGGCCAGCAACCACCAGCCCCAGUGUGGGCGGGCGGCGAGCGGCGGUGCGUCGGUGGUGCCACAGGCUUGCGCCUAGCGCCCUCACUGUCUGUCUGUUUCGGUGUCUCGUUGGUUCAGGCUCUCACUGUUUGUCUCAGUUGCCGCAAAGAAAAAGACUCAAAAUGAAACUCGGGAUCAGGCCAAUCUGGAUCCUUCUUCCAAUGAUAUGUUGAACAAGCAUCGGAAAGUUGUCCUCUACAUUGCCAAGCCCCAAUGCAGCCUCGAGAGCGCCUUUCCCGCCAACUCGGAGAGCUCCACGCCCACUUCCUCCGCCGCGGCCACCCCUUCCCGCCGGCGGCUCACCCCGACCCUGACCUCGACCGCGCCUACAUCUCCGUAAUCCGCGCGGCCGCCGCGCCGCGUCUCGCACUCGCGGCCUUCGCUUGCCUCCGCCGCGUGGGCCUGCCCGCGCCAGGACGCCGCGCGCUCCCAUCCCUGCUCCGUGCCAUCGCGUUCGCGCGCUCCCUUGGCACCGCAGGGGCCGCGCACGGUCUCGCGUUUAGGGUCGGGGCAGAGGUCGAUGGCUUCGUCGGGACCGCGCUGGUCCGGGCCUACGCGGCGUGCGGGCGUGUGGAGGACGCACGCAGGGUGUUCGAUGGGAUGCCUGACCGGGACCUCGUCGCCUGGGGCGUCAUGCUUGACUGUUAUUGUCAGGCCCGAAACUAUGAAGAAGCCCUGUUGCUUUUUCAUAGCAUGAAGAGAUCAAGAGUUGUUCCUGAUCAAGUGAUUAUUGCUACUGUCCUUUCAACUUGUGCUCAUACAAGAAACUUGAGAUUUGGAAAGGCUAUCCACUCAUACAUGUUGGUGUCAGAUACUCUUAUUGAUGCUCAAGUCAGCUGUGCUCUCAUGAACAUGUAUGCUAGUUGUGCAGACAUGGAAAUGGCUGAAAAGCUGUACAAUAGGGUGUCAGAAAAGGAAAUUGUAUUAUCAACCACCAUGGUGUAUGGAUACGCCAAGAAUGGAAAAGUUGAGAUUGCUCACUCCAUAUUCAAUGGAAUGCCAGCGAAGGACGUGGUAUCUUGGAGUGCUAUGAUAGCAGGAUAUGCUGAAAGCAGCAAACCUAUGGAAGCGCUGAAUUUGUUCCAUGAUAUGCAACGGAGUGGUGUCAAACCUGAUGAAAUUACCAUGCUGAGUGUAAUAUCUGCAUGUGCUAAUGUUGGUGCCCUUGAAAAAGCUAGAUGUAUCCAUUCCUUCGUGGAGAAUCAUAGCAUGUGUAAGAUAUUACCCAUCGGAAAUGCUCUUAUUGAUAUGUUCUCCAAAUGUGGGAGUUUAACUCUUGCCUUGGAUGUCUUCAAUGCAAUGCCUCAAAAGAAUGUUGUCACCUGGACAAGCAUAAUUACUGCAUCUGCUAUGCAUGGUGAUGGAAGAUCCGCCUUAACCCUUUUUGAGAACAUGAAAAGUGAAGGGAUUCAACCCAAUGGAGUGACAUUUCUUGGGUUGCUCUAUGCUUGCUGUCAUGCUGGUUUAGUUGAAGAAGGCCGUUUAUUGUUCAAAAUUAUGGUCCAGCAAUACAGGAUUGAGCCCAUGCAUGAGCACUACGGUUGUAUGGUGGAUCUUUUGGGAAGAGCAAAACUUCUUGGACAAGCUGCUGACCUGAUACAGUCCAUGCACUUAAGACCAAAUGUGGUCAUUUGGGGAUCUUUGUUAGCAGCAUGCCGGAUGCAUGGUGAUCUUGAGCUCGGCACGUUUGCUGCAAAGAAAAUUUUGGAGUUGGACCCUAAUCAUGGUGGAGCACAAGUGCUCUUAUCAAAUAUAUAUGCAGAAUAUGGAAACUGGAAUGAUGUUAAGGAGGUAAGGGGAGUAAUGGAAGUCCAGGGGACGUGGAAGAAGAAAGGUUGCAGUUGGAUGGAGCUGAAUGGCAGUGUUCAUCAGUUUGCAGUUGGAGGUGAAAAAAUUUUGGAAAUGAAAGGAUCCUUCUGAAGCUUGAUGAGAUAACUGCAAAAUAAAGGAUGACUGAGCUAAUUUGGAGAAGCCUUGUGGAAGCAUAUUUGUAAGUAUCCUGAAGAACAUUGUAUACUUCAUAUUUUUACAACUGCAGGGAUAGAAGAUUGAGAGGGUCUGUCUAAGAAGGAUUAUGAGAAGAAAAAGGAGCUUGCGGCCAGUGAGAUAACAAAAAAAGCUUGAAAAGAAGCUGUAAGUUAAUAUCCAUUUGAAUACUACUUCAAUAGAUGGGCUGUACUGUGUUGGACAAUGCUAUUUUUAUGGGUAAAGCCGCAAAUGUGUAACUGUUGUGGCAUUUUUCAAGGAUCAUGUGCAUCAUCAAGUUGCAGCCUAUAUUGGUGACCACAUUGACCAAUCAGCAGUUUUUGUUUCUCAUGAUUGUUAAGUAGAUGCAAUCUGGAACUGCCAGAAGCGUCGAAAGUUGAAACUUCUCAGCUUAAAAGCUAGACUAUUCAUCUUCCGCUUGAGAUUUUGGAAAUUGAUACAUCCACAUAUAGGAUUCCUCGAGAUCUCCGCAGAUUUGAGUAAUUUUGAGCAGAAGAUUGAGUUCUCUCUGUACAAAGUUCGUCUAAGGAAGCAACAGCUACGUUAUCAGCAGCUUCUUGAGAUGUGCAACCGGGUACGACCUAACAAAAGGAUACACUUGUUCAGUAUUGUACUAUCCUACCUUACUACACUAGUUUAAACUACCAAGUUAUGAUCUCUCUCUCUCCAUUCCAAAAGGAGAUGCCAAUUCCAGGAGACGAGCAAUUAUCUGUGCCAAUUCCAACUCGGCACAAGGAUUUAUCCUCAAGUGAAAUUAUGUCACGGAUUCUCUAUCGAGUAACUUGUUUGUGCUUGUCAAAAGAACCUGAUUGGUGAGCAGACCCAGGCAGCUUCGAUGGUCAAUCCAAAGCCAUUUCCAUUGUGGGAUGUGUGCAGCAGCCAGAUGUACUGUCAGGAUGCCGAGUCUUCCAUGACAGCACUGCAGCUUUCACCUCAGCUUCAUGAGUAGUACAAAGCUUCAGCCACUGCAGCCCAACCUGCAGGAGGCCAACCUACAGGGCUACGUUCUUGGUUGUGAUUCCUAAGGACACUAUGGAGCCUGGAUGCAACUGAGAGCAACUGAUUGAGGAUAAUGAUCUUCUCAGCCUGAAUCUGCCAGAACUCAGUCUAACCAGCUGAAAAAUAAACUAUACACUUCCUGUGUUAUUGAACUGCUUGCUUAUGUCGGAUGUAGUAAAUUAAUGAUGAGCAUGGCUUUCUUGUGUGUUUUCAAGAACUAAUGGUUUCUAUUAAGGUGUAUAACGGUUAUGUACAAUCAGUAACCACCAUAGAUUUAGAGUGCAUAACCAAAUCAAAUAUGAUUAAGGGUUUA